CGAUUAGCUCAUUGAGAAGCACCUGGCUCAUAACCAGGCAAGUGGAGGGUUUGAAUCCCUCUAUCGA
rnacentral:tRNA from 1 species